rnacentral:rRNA from 1 species
AGAGGUUGCCUUCGGGUAACCAAAACCGGCGCACGGGUGCGUAACGCGUAUACAAUCUGCCUUUCACAUAGGGAUAGCCCGAAGAAAUUUGGAUUAAUACCUAAUGGUAUAUAAAAGCGGCAUCGUUUUUAUAUUAAAGCUACGGUGGUGAAAGAUGAGUAUGCGUUCUAUUAGCUAGUUGGAGAGGUAACGGCUCCCCAAGGCGACGAUAGAUAGGGGUUCUGAGAGGGAUGUCCCCCACACUGGUACUGAGAUACGGACCAGACUCCUACGGGAGGCAGCAGUGAGGAAUAUUGGACAAUGGUCGGAAGACUGAUCCAGCCAUGCCGCGUGCAGGAUGAAGGUCCUAUGGAUUGUAAACUGCUUUUGUAAGGGAAGAAUAAGGAGUACGUGUACUUUGAUGACGGUACCUUACGAAUAAGCAUCGGCUAACUCCGUGCCAGCAGCCGCGGUAAUACGGAGGAUGCGAGCGUUAUCCGGAAUCAUUGGGUUUAAAGGGUCCGUAGGCGGGCUGAUAAGUCAGAGGUGAAAGCGCUAGCUCAACUAAGCAACUGCCUUUGAAACUGUCAGUCUUGAAUGAUUGUGAAGUAGUUGGAAUGUGUAGUGUAGCGGUGAAAUGCUUAGAUAUUACACAGAACACCGAUAGCGAAGGCAUAUUACUAACAAUUUAUUGACGCUGAUGGACGAAAGCGUGGGGAGCGAACAGGAUUAGAUACCCUGGUAGUCCACGCUGUAAACGAUGGAUACUAGCUGUUUGGAGCAAUCUGAGUG